rnacentral:lncRNA from 1 species
AGAGAACUAGAAAAUGAAACUCAGCUGAAAAACGGCCACCUAAGAUGGAAGAAGCCAUGAGAUGAGUAAGCGUUGCCUACUCACAAGGUUGCAAACUGUCCUUCACUUACGAUUAUCCCCCAACGCCCCCUCCUAAAUCUGAUCAAUCGCAUGGAACUUGAUGGUUACAAAAGACAGAGCUAACAACUAGCUACCUUGCAGGAACGGGAACGUCAUUCUGAGGGUAGUCCACAUGCAAGUGUUCUAAAGUUGACAUCACUGCUUCAUCAUUCACCUCAUUUUCCCAGAACAGAAGCACCAAGAAAAUUAUCACCAUUAUUAUCAUCAGAGUGCAGAUCCUUUUUUAAUAGCGAGAACAUUUAAAACCUACUCUUCGAAUAAUUUUGAAAUCUACAAAAUGGCAGCAUGGCCCAGGAGUGUGACUGGCAGUGAAGGAGCUGGGAAGACCUUGGAUGCAGGAAGGUCAUUUAAAGCAAAAGAUUAAGAAGCAGCAAUGCCCCUCUUGUGGCAAGAGUUGGCAGCGUGCGGUUGGUAUGUCAAUGCAUCCAAGGUCCAAGGGCCUGGAUUGUCU